rfam:Rattus norvegicus chromosome 2, whole genome shotgun sequence.
GGGGAUUUAGCUCAGUGGUAGAGCGCUUGCCUUGCAAGCACAAGGCUCUGGGUUCGGUCCUCAGCUCCG